GGUCAAUCCAAUACCAGCAAUCCUUGCGGAGACUCUGUUGACUCUUACUUACUGUAGACAACAAGGUAGGGGAUCCAUUAAGUACUGUUCUCAAUUGUUGCACCUCUGAAUCAUCAGUCACAUGUGCCCUAUAGAGACAAAGGGGUUAACUUGGUACCCAGACCAGCCUCUUAUUGAGAAAAUGACCAGAUUAGUAAUCAGCCCAAAGGAUGAGCGGCAGUGGCAAGAGCGAAUUCUAAGCUUCAACAGUCACAACUACUGCUGGAGGAAAUUGUGGGCACUAGGUCUACCUAUU
rnacentral:misc_RNA from 1 species